rnacentral:rRNA from 1 species
GUCCACGCCGUAAACGAUGAGAACUAGCCGUUGGACCCCUUGAGGGUUUAGUGGCGUAGCUAACGCGAUAAGUUCUCCGCCUGGGGAGUACGGCCGCAAGGCUAAAACUCAAAUGAAUUGACGGGGGCCCGCACAAGCGGUGGAGCAUGUUGUUUAAUUCGAUGCAACGCGAAGAACCUUACCACCCCUUGACAUCCUCGGAACUUGGCAGAGAUGCCUUGGUGCCUUCGGGAACCGAGUGACAGGUGCUGCAUGGCUGUCGU